AAUUUUUUUUGAUUGUCCGCCGUACAGGGGAGGUGUUGCCGAAAUUUUCUCGGACAGGGACUCCUCUGGGGGCGUGACAGAGUUUAUCAUUGGACUAAUGUAUAUGAUUAUUAGUUGUGCACCAGUAACAAAAUUAAAGCAUAACUAGGCAAUAUGAAUGGAGUCUCUAAUACUUUGACUUUAUUUUUGUCCUGAUUUUAUAAUGUUGUUUGUGCAGGUCUCAAUUUGGUGUGAUCUCACUGUAGUUGAAGACAGCUGUAUUUGUUCACUUCUUUUCGGCAAAGGAGAUUUUAUGGGGAUCAAAGAUUUUGUGGCACACGAAUAUGACUUGGGUUGAUGUGUUGGGGAUCAAAGUUAUGUAUUCUUAGUGUUGUUAGAUGGAUGAUGGACUUGGGUUGUUGAACUUGUAAACUUUGUUGAACAAGAUGGAUCUUGUAUGUAAACUUUGUUGAAAUCUUUAUAUUUCUUGAAUUA